UUUCAUUGUUAUCUACUACUUCAUCUUCACCUUCACUGCAACUAAGAUCAUAGCUUUGAGCUAGUGUCUCAUCUUCACUGACAUUACCAAACUCAGGAUCAUCAUACAUUUCAUCAUCUUGGCUAUAAUCACUAUCUUCAUUAUCUAUUACUUGAGUUGUAUUCUGACCUUGAGAAUACAAAACAGGAAAAUAGGUUAAGACAUGCCUCUUAAUUACAUUUUGUUUCCAAGCGAAAAACAAUACAGUAAAGACUGUUACCUUUAGAUGAAGAAGAGGUUUCUGCAUUUGUAAAAUCAAUAUCUAAGUUUUUCCUUGGCAAAUUUAUUGUAUGAGAAACAAAGCUUGAUGUCUGGAGGUUGGUUAUACAUGAUGGAUUUCCAGUGUAUUGAACACCUACAACAGAUAUUAAACUUAUUACUUAUACAAUAUACUUCUCUAUUUAAAACAUUAUCAUACCAUAAUUGUUGCAAAAAUUAUUCAUAUGUGGAACUUAAUUAAUCUAACCACCUAUUCUCUUUGGUGUUACAGAAGGUGGAGGCAUUAUUGGAGUUGUAGGUGUUCUGCUAAAAAGACUCUGGCUUGUAUUAGUCAUGGCGCUUAAUCCAGAUGGAGUUAACAAUGGGUUAGGUCUAGUGUAAGGAGAGCAAGGUACCAGAAUUUUUCCACGAAGUGAACCUGUUUUAAAACUCAUCAAGAUUUAGAGAUAAAGAUGAAGAUGUAUUAGCAUCUGCAGAGUUCUCAAUGGGGCUAACUUGUGGGUCUGGAAGGAAAGAGAGCAAUGAAAUAUUCUUGCUAUUCACAAUCAAUAGCACAUAAGGAAGAUGGACUAUUCA